rnacentral:rRNA from 1 species
UAGGGAAUCUUCGGCAAUGGACGAAAGUCUGACCGAGCAACGCCGCGUGAGUGAAGAAGGUUUUCGGAUCGUAAAACUCUGUUGUUAGAGAAGAACAAGGACGUUAGUAACUGAACGUCCCCUGACGGUAUCUAACCAGAAAGCCACGGCUAACUACGUGCCAGCAGCCGCGGUAAUACGUAGGUGGCAAGCGUUGUCCGGAUUUAUUGGGCGUAAAGCGAGCGCAGGCGGUUUCUUAAGUCUGAUGUGAAAGCCCCCGGCUCAACCGGGGAGGGUCAUUGGACACUGGGCGACUUGAGUGCAGAAGAGGAGAGUGGACUUCCAUGUGUAGCGGUGAAAUGCGUAGAUAUAUGGAGGAACACCAGUGGCGAAGGCGGCUCUCUGGUCUGUAACUGACGCUGAGGCUCGAAAGCGUGGGGAGCAAACAGG